rnacentral:rRNA from 1 species
GUUGUAUGGUUAAGUGACUAAGCGUACAUGGUGGAUGCUUGGCAGUCAGAGGCGAUGAAGGACG